rnacentral:rRNA from 1 species
UGGGGAAUAUUGGACAAUGGGCGCAAGCCUGAUCCAGCCAUGCCGCGUGAGUGACGAAGGCCUUAGGGUUGUAAAGCUCUUUUGGCGGGGACGAUAAUGACGGUACCCGCAGAAUAAGCCCCGGCUAACUUCGUGCCAGCAGCCGCGGUAAUACGAAGGGGGCUAGCGUUGUUCGGAAUUACUGGGCGUAAAGCGCACGUUGGCGGAUCGAUCAGUUAGGGGUGAAAUCCCGGGGCUCAACCCCGGAACUGCCUCUAAUACUGUCGAUCUCGAGUUCGAGAGAGGGGAGUGGAAUUCCGAGUGUAGAGGUGAAAUUCGUAGAUAUUCGGAGGAACACCAGUGGCGAAGGCGGCUCACUGGCUCGAUACUGACGCUGAGGUGCGAAAGCAUGGGGAGCAAACA